GGAAACCGAAUGCCAAACCUGGACUUACAUCCAACUCGAAACAAGCACACGCUAACCAACGAACACCAUAACAAAAGGUUAUCAGAUUGACAAGCUAAUAGGGAGUCUGGAACUUGAGCCUAAUAGUUGUCACACAAAACACACACAAAAAAGAAAAAGGUUGAAAAAGAAAAAGGGUGAAUAACAAACUAAUAGGGAGUCUGGAACUCGAGCCUAAAAGUCGUC
rnacentral:lncRNA from 1 species